UUUUUUUUUUUUUUUUUUUUUUUUUUUGAGAAAGGGUUUCUCUGUAUAGCCCUGGCUGUCCUGGAACUCACUUUGUAGACCAGGCUGCCUCUGCCUCCCGAGUGCUGGGAUUAAAGGCGUGCGCCACCAUGCCCGGCAUAACUAUAUUGAUUUUUAAUCUAGUCUUGUACUAUUGUAUCAUAAUUGAUUCAAUGAGUUCUUGGUUAUUAGACUAUUUUAAAAAUAAAGAAUUGUACUGCAGUAUGAAUGUCCUUGCUUGGAUUUCUAUACUGAAUGCUGAAUUCAUGAUAGUGAUAUUGUUUAGGAAGGAGCCUAAUUUCAGCAUCGAUUAAAACACUGGGGUAGUGAGUUUGGGGUGUAGGUUAGUCAGUAGAGUGCUUACCUAGCAUGUGAGCCUUGUGUUUGUUAAUCAACAAUACUACCACUGUGUUAGUGCAUGCUAUAGGAGUCUAUCACUUGAGAGGUAGAUACAGAAGGAUUAGAAGUUCACGGUCACUCUUGACUCUUUAGCAAGACUGAGGCUAGCCUGUGCUACAUGAGAUCCUGCCUGAAUGAGAAACAAAAGAUGGGUUGGCAGGCCUUCUCUGUGAAGGCUUAGGGUCAUGUAUGAUUUCUGCAGUAGCUAUUCAACUGAUAGGUUCAAACAGUGGUCUAUCUAUCUAUAUCACACACACACACACACACACACACACACACACACACACACAUAUAUAUAUCACAUUAUAUAUGUGUGUGUAUUAUGUAUGUGUGUUGUGUGUAUGUAUAUGUAGACAUAGAUGUUUUUCAAUAAUACUUUACUAAAAAAGAAGGCAACAGGGCUGCAUUUGACCCACAAAUUGUAGUUUACUUACCUCUUGUUUGAAACAGAUUCAAAGCUGAUUAGGGGUGGAGCUUCAUCUCAAAUAGGCUGUAAGCUACCUGUAUACCACUGCAUAUGAGGACUCUCUUCCCACUUCAGUUGGAUCCAUUUCUGUCCAAAUGUAUUACAAUCAGCACUUAUGUUCAGGCAUUUGUAAAAGGAGGGUUCAGACCAGCUCCUAGUCUUGAACCUCAGUCAAUUUCAAUUUGAGGGGCUAUUGAUGUACCUGCACGUUUUCAUACACUUUAGAUUUCAACACAGGGUAACAGUUUGAGGGGGUAAAUAAAAGACCUCUUUAAGUUACAUUAUAGGGGAAACAUGUCCAUUUUCCUAACUCUAGAGGGUUGCUUGUAGAGUUGGGUUCUAGGCAAAUCUGGGAGUAAGGUUAAAUAGAAGUUUUAGUCAGAAAAGAAACCAUGUCAUGUCCACAUCUGAUGAAACCCAUCUCAGCAGAAAGAUACCACAGAAUUAAUUACUGCCCUUUUAGUACUACGCAUAUAACUAAUGAAGUUUAUAUAAAACAGCAAUUAUUGGUCUAUAACUGCCUUAGAGGUUUAUGUUGAGGAUCAGGUAAAAUAAUGAAAUAGUUAAAAUAUUUGUCUUGUCCUUUGUGCCACUAUGAAUUUUAAUAGAUUUAUGCGUUAUUUUUCAAAUAUAUUUUAGUUUACUGAUGUGGAUAAAGCCUGUGGUAGGUGCUUUGGAGGAGUACAAAGCUGAACAAAUGAGUUAUGGCUCUUAGUAAUCGAAAACCUGGCUUAAAAUUCAAGGAUGUCCAGUGCUUACGUAAUGUAUCUUAGAGUGCUGGGGAGGAGAGCCCUUCCUCCUCAGCAGCGUCAGGGGAACUCAUAUAGUAGUUGCCUCUGGGAAAUACAGAGACUUCUAAAGCACAAUGUGUAUGGGGAGGGGGUUGCAGGGGGUGGGGAGUGACAGCCAGAAUAGUCUCCCAGUGAGGAGAGCCAGGCCAGCACAUCAGAGCCAUUGAAUCCAUUCACUAGACUCUAGGUGACGUAUUCCCGAGGGAAGAGAAGAUAAAACUGAAGGACAGGCCAAAGUUGGACUCUUUGAGGUCUAAGAAGAACUUUAAUUGAUAAUUUGUGGGGAACUUUCCAUUUAAUAGAGGAGAACACAUGUGACCAUUUGUGGGUGUUGUACUGGUUUGUGUAUGUGGAAUGAUUAAAUGUUGGUUAUUACUUAACGUUUUUGGAAAGGACCUAGUUGAUACUUAGUAGAAUUGAUUAUCUGCAAGGCAGUAAGGUAUAGCUGAGGAGACUGAAAAACAAGAUUACACUGACUUUCAAAAUCAGUGGGUUUGGGAUAUAGGGAGAGGAAUUUAGUUAUGAAAUAUGGCUCCAAGUGAACAUUAAUUAGUGAUUUUUUUGGUGAUAACUUUGCAAAAUGUAGGGAAGUUAGGGGUGCACUUUAGCAAAGAACCAAGAGCAGCAUUGCCCUACUUUGUUUGUUUAGUGAGAUACUAACUUGAUACCUAAAAAAUUUAGGGGGAGCAUGCCAGUUCAGGGUUAGCAUUCACAUGAAACAGAAAGGGUAGGGAUAUGGUAUCCUGUUCAUCUGGAGGUGACAGAUGAAACCUAGGUAGCAAAUACCAUUGAAAGAUUACAGAGGGAAAAGUGUGAUUAGUAACAUUACUCAUUAUUAGGUGUUGUUAGCUAUAUGUGAGGUAACUAAUACCCUCAGAGACACACAGACAGGACCCCCCCACACACACACACACAAGCACUUCAUGUGUGCAGUGCUCUGUUUUCUCCCAGCUUUCUUCCCCCUUCAGUUUUCAACACUGCUAGAUUUCAGGAAUGAGGCAUGUUCACUUAGGAUGAACAUAUAAGAAUAUCUCCACUGGAAACUGUAAGAAAUUCCUUCUUAUUUUAUUCCCCAUUUCCUAUAAUCCGUGGUAACAAAGACAGCACUGGUGGGAAGCGUUUUCCAUUGCCCUUUAUCUUUUCACCCCCCUUUUGCCUUUCACUCCUACAGAGAUCGGUGCAUUUGCGGUGCGUACAGCACAUUUCAUAGAAAGCAGUUUUGUACCCGUUUUCUCUUUUUAGGUCCUUGGCAGGCUUAGAGGGAGGAUUGGGCUGUGGAGAGCCUAGUUUGUGUUUGAGUCGACAGAGUUUUUACAGUAUGAAACAGCAGGACUGAAUGUGCUGUCGGCUUCCUUUCUCAUUUCAACUUUUUUCAAGUUCAAGUUUUGUAUUAUUCAGAGAAAAACAGCUACUUCUGUUACUCUUUGGGCACAGUUUAUUGAUGUUUGGUCACACGUUAUAGUUUCUGGCUCUCUUGUUCAGAUAACUUGGGCUCUUCUGAUUAGUGGUACCCAUCUUUAGGCUCAGUCUUGAUUGCUGGCUUUAACUAAUUUCAAAUGGGAUGUCAGGGCUCUUCAGAAGUGUUCACAUCUUCACUCAGCCAUUUGUGUGCCAAAUCUAGUACUAUUUUCCCACUGUAUUUUAUUUAAGCCAUCAAUUGCUACUUUAUUUUUAAAGAUCACUGGUUUCACGUAUAUGGUUCAGUGGUAACUUGUCAUGUCGUGCCCUUUGUGCUCCUGACAUUGAAAUGUGACAUACUCUAUCACAUUUCACUUCAACUGGACACAAGGCACAAGUGCAUUUUUCCGUCAACCCUUUCCUUUCUAAUACUGUUAAAUUUAGAGAGAAAGAAAGAGAGCCUAAUUGAUUGGUUCCAUUGUGUGUGUGUGUGUGUGUGUGUGUGUGUGUGUGUGUGUGUGUGCGUGUCUAUAAGUAAAAACAACUGAAAUAGAUAUCUUGUCUUCUGAUGUGAACACCUUUCUAAACAGCACCAGCUG
rnacentral:lncRNA from 1 species